UGCUGGGACGACUUAAAAGAAACAAGCAGGACAUGUGGAGUGUUGCUUCCUUUCCUCAAUUACCAGCAGAUCACAGGUGUUUAUCUGGUUCCCGGAGGUGAUUCAGUUAUGAGUUUGUAUGUUGAACUGAGGAACACCUACACUGGCAGGCCUGUUUGAAGCAAAUGAGACAACUGACUUUGAAAUCGUUUCUUCAUUAAGAGGGUUUGAAGACUUUCCCUUCUAAGUUGACCUUGAUGAGGUUUAAGUUGAGAAAAUGAAAAGAACAAGAAAGGAAAAAUAAAGAAGAUCAGACUCAAAAGAUCCUUAUUUCCAAACCUUCACAACAACCAUCUUCAGUAAGUUCCUCAAAGAUUUAGAAGCUACAAUGGCCAAUCAGGGGAAGCAAAAUAAAACAGCACAAGGUCUGGGCCAUUGCCAGUCAUCUUGACUUUCGUCUUGCCACUGGACUUUUAUGACUCUGGAGGAGAGAGCGAGGCUGGUAAUUGCACAGCUCAGUUUCACUUAAUUCCAAUUCACCAUCAAGUCAAGACAUCACCCUUAUGAUGUCACUGGUCCUCUUUGAGAACAAAGGACAAAUAACCCUGAAAUUAGGAUACCUGGAGAAAAUGAUCAGAGGAUCAUAGGUUUAGACUAUAGAAGCUAUAAAGGACUUUCCUUUCGCAGCCAAGGAAACAGACACUGAGAGGUUAAGUAAUUUACUGAGAGUCAUAUAGCUAGUGUACAUCUGGCAGAACUUGAACCCAGAUCUUGACUCCAAGGUCAGACCUCCAUACCAGGCUGCUUCAGGAAAUGUAAGCUAUGAUAACUGUUGUGUGCAAAUGCAUAGUGUGUACCAGGUCUCCAAAAGAAGACACCAUGGAUGAAAUUCACUAUUUAGAGUAGGCAUUCAAUAAAUGAGUGUCCAUUUGAGUUAUCUUAGCAGAGACCUUGCAUACCUCCACAGGAUUGCAACCUAUAGCUGAAGAGAAUAGCCAGGCUGCUCAUUUGAUGGGAGGCAUAUUUUUAAAUCAACUUGAUAAGUUUCUAGUAUAGCAGUCAACAUACUCGGGACUUUAAAAAUGUCAUCUCUACUGAGAUAAGGCUAGAUUUCACUAUUUAAAAAUGCUUUUUUUGCUUAUGGGAAUUUGGGAUGAUGCUGGUACUAUCUCAACAACAAACACCUAUUAGAUGCCUUACUCUAUGACCUUGAGCAAGUUUAUUAGUCAGAGACUCGUUUUCCACCUAUGCAAAAGGAAGGGUUUGGAAAGAGUUCCAAAAGUCACUUUUCUAAAAAUCCUAUGCCCCUGUACAAUACUGAAUUAGACAUUUUUUGGUCAAAACCCCUUUACAACAAUUCCAAGGGCCUGCCCCAAAUCUUUCUUUUACUUGAACUAUGUUGAAUUGGAUAUCACUCGAAAUAAGGAAGCCAUCAGCUAAGGCUUGGGAACAUUUUUAGUACACAGAAGUUUUUGUAAUAGUAUUUGUUGUAAUGGGAUUUGCCCAAUACAAAGAGAAUUACAAAGCCCUGGCCCCUGCCUUCCGGGAAUUUAGGUCAGCGUCAUCCAAAAACGUUUUAUAGAUAGCUCUUUCGGGCAAACUGAGUUUCGACAAUGAGGAGGGCAAAGGUGUGAUGUUUCCAAGAAAUGAGAAUUUAAGCAAAUAGUAGUCACUAUUGGAGAUGUGAAAGAUAUUCAACUGGACAUUUCUGAUUGCAACGAGGCUUGACUUCACUUACUGGUUAAAACAGCAAACAAUAUUCCUGGCAAUCAUGUCACUACUGCAGCUUUACUACUGUUUCUGAUCAGGAAUCUGGGAUACAAAAGGUGAUUCAUUGCAGUUUCAAAUUAGGUUGCAUUUGUGAACCCUGGGUCCUAUUUUGUGUUCUCUUAGUUUUUAUCUGUAUUGUCCUAAAUAAAAUGAAUCACGUUGGA